rnacentral:rRNA from 1 species
UACAGAGGGUGCGAGCGUUAAUCGGAAUUACUGGGCGUAAAGCGCGCGUAGGUGGUCUUGUAAGUCGGAUGUGAAAGCCCCGGGCUCAACUCGGGAACUGCAUUCGAGACUGCAAAACUAGAGUAUGGGAGAGGGCAGUGGAAUUUCCGGUGUAGCGGUGAAAUGCUUAGAGAUGAUGUAGAACACCAAUUGCGAAGGCAGUUCACUAAGUCAUAACUGACGCUGAGGCACGAAAGCGUGGGGAUCAAACAGG